UCCACCAUCCCCAGAAGGGCGGGUCCCAAGACAAGGGAUCUGGGUGCGGGGGAAGCCGGAGGGCAGUGGAAGCGAAGGCAGAGAUAAGAGGCUUUCUGGUCACGUACAACCUCUGGUCUGCUGUCCAAUCAACCACAGGGAGAAGACAAGGAGUGAGGCAACAGAGAGAAACUAAAAAUGCAAGAAUAUGCACCACUAGGAGACCCCAUGGACAGAACCCAGAGGGAGACACAGAAAGAGAGCACAAGCAGGGGGAGCUGCAGAGAGAGAGGG